rnacentral:rRNA from 1 species
AUUGAACGCUGGCGGCAGGCCUAACACAUGCAAGUCGAACGGUAACAGGAAGAAGCUUGCUUCUUUGCUGACGAGUGGCGGACGGGUGAGUAAUGUCUGGGAAACUGCCUGAUGGAGGGGGAUACCUACUGGAAACGGUAGCUAAUACCGCAUAACGUCGCAAGACUAAAAAGGGGGACCUUCGGGCCUCUUGCCAUCGGAUGUUCCCAGUUGGGAUUAUCUAGUAGGUUGGGUAACGACUCACCUAGGCGACGAUCCCUAACUGGUCUGAGAGGAUGACCAGCCACCAUGGAACUGAGACACGGUCCAGACUCCUACGGGAGGCAGCAGUGGGGAAUAUUGCACAAUGGGCGCAAGCCUGAUGCAGCCAUGCCGCGUGUAUGAAGAAGGCCUUCGGGUUGUAAAGUACUUUCAGCGGGGAGGAAGGGAGUAAAGUUAAUACCUUUGCUCAUUGACGUUACCCGCAGAAGAAGCACCGGCUAACUCCGUG